rnacentral:rRNA from 1 species
UACGAAGGGGGCUAGCGUUGUUCGGAAUCACUGGGCGUAAAGGGCGCGUAGGCGGCUUUAUAAGUCGGGGGUGAAAGCCUGUGGCUCAACCACAGAAUUGCCUUCGAUACUGUAGAGCUUGAGACCGGAAGAGGUAAGUGGAACUGCGAGUGUAGAGGUGAAAUUCGUAGAUAUUCGCAAGAACACCAGUGGCGAAGGCGGCUUACUGGCCCGAUACUGACGCUGAGGUGCGAAAGCGUGGGGAGCAAACAGG